rnacentral:rRNA from 1 species
AGCGAACGUUAGCGGCGGGCCUAACACAUGCAAGUCGAACGGGCUGUAGCAAUACAGUCAGUGGCGCACGGGUGCGUAACGCGUAGAUAAUCUACCUCUCAGUGGGGGAUAACUAGGGGAAACUCUAGCUAAUACCGCAUAAGACCACGGAGUCUUCGGGCUUUGAGGGAAAAGGCGGCCUCUGAAUAUGCUGUCGCUGGGAGAUGAGUCUGCGUCCCAUCAGCUAGUUGGUGAGGUAAUGGCUCACCAAGGCAAAGACGGGUAGCUGGUCUGAGAGGAUGAUCAGCCACACUGGCACUGGAACACGGGCCAGACUCCUACGGGAGGCAGCAGUGGGGAAUAUUGGGCAAUGGGCGGAAGCCUGACCCAGCCACGCCGCGUGAGUGAUGAAGGCCUCGGUUGUAAG